rnacentral:rRNA from 1 species
GCUAACUUCGUGCCAGCAGCCGCGGUAAUACGAAGGGGGCUAGCGUUGUUCGGAUUUACUGGGCGUAAAGCGCACGUAGGCGGAUCGUUAAGUCGGGGGUGAAAUCCUGGAGCUCAACUCCAGAACUGCCUUCGAUACUGGCGAUCUUGAGUCCGGAAGAGGUGAGUGGAACUCCUAGUGUAGAGGUGGAAUUCGUAGAUAUUAGGAAGAACACCAGUGGCGAAGGCGGCUCACUGGUCCGGUACUGACGCUGAGGUGCGAAAGCGUGGGGAGCAAACAGGAUUAGAUACCCCUGUAGUC